GUGCCAGCCGCCGCGGUAAUACCGGCAGCCCGAGUGAUGACCGAUCUUAUUGGGCCUAAAGCGUCCGUAGCUGGCUGUGUAAGUCCAUUGGGAAAUCCACGCGCUCAACGCGUGGGCGUCCGGUGGAAACUGCACGGCUUGGGGCCGAGAGACUCGACGGGUACGUCCGGGGUAGGAGUGAAAUCCUAUAAUCCUGGACGGACCACCAAUGGUGAAACCACGUCGAGAGACCGGACCCGACAGUGAGGGACGAAAGCCAGGGCCUCGAACCGGAUUAGAAACCCUAGAGUCC
rnacentral:rRNA from 1 species